rnacentral:tRNA from 1 species
AGCAUGGAUGCCCGAGUGGUCUAAGGGGGCAGACUUAAGAUCUGCUGGCGAAAGCCUCGUGGGUUCAAACCCCACUCCGUGCA